UGAAAUAGUGGAGAUCAAGUUCGUUUAUGGGUUUUGGGGAUGAGUACAUCUGAUUAAAGGAAGAAAACUUGAAUCUGAGAGACUUUAGGGUUUCUUCAUCAUCAAAGUUGGGAAAGCUGCUCAAUUCAAGAUCAAGGUGAUUCAAAACCGGUAAAUCUCCAAUGCUGGUAAUGAAAAUGUGAUGGGCCUGCAAAUGUGGAUGUUCCUGCUAAUGGUGUAGAGAGAGAUACCCCUGGAGUGCAGUGACUGAAGAUAUGGAAGCUGAGUGGCAAUUUCGUUGUGGUGGUAAACACACUGAGGACCCAGUAAACUUUUCGUUGCUUGAUGAAGCAACUCUCAACCUACUCCAGGUGUAUUGCUGAAGGGAAUGUUUUUUGAAGAUAGAACUACUUUCACAGAUCAUCUUAGGCACUAUGCAGCGAAGACAAAGAAUAAUGUUUCUUUGUUCUUCUUUCAUUUUUCUUUUUUUGAAGACAGAGGAUUCUGCAUUUUUUUUUGUUAGACCUUGCUGCAUUGAUUAUGUCAUCUGGGUUUCAGAAUUUUCACAAUUUAGGUUUAUCCACAAAACGAAAGUUGAUUUUGUCUUUUGUAAUUUUUCCAUUAACUGAGGUUAACAGUAUCAUUUCACCAAUAUCAGGGCACCAAAAGAUUUUUUCUGGUUGCGUAC